GACAUGUCAGCCGCAAGGCAGUUGUGAAGGUGCUGCAUGGUUGUCGUCAGCUCGUGCCGUGAGGUGUCGGCUUAAGUGCCAUAACGAGCGCAACCCUUAUCGAUAGUUACCAUCAGGUUAUGCUGGGGACUCUGUCGAGACUGCCGUCGUAAGAUGUGAGGAAGGUGGGGAUGACGUCAAAUCAGCACGGCCCUUACGUCCGGGGCUACACACGUGUUACAAUGGGGGGUACAGAAGGCAGCUACACGGCGACGUGAUGCUAAUCCCGAAAGCCUCUCUCAGUUCGGAUUGGAGUCUGCAACCCGACUCCAUGAAGCUGGAUUCGCUAGUAAUCGCGCAUCAGCCACGGCGCGGUGAAUACGUUCCCGGGCCUUGUACACACCGCCCGUCAAGCCAUGAAAGCCGGGGGUACCUGAAGUGCGUAACCGCAAGGAGCGCCCUAGGGUAAAACUGGUGAUUGGGGCUAAGUCGUAACAAGGUAGCCGUACCGGAAGGUGCGGCUGGAUCACCUC
rnacentral:rRNA from 1 species